AAGGACUUAAGUUAAAUAAACUAAUAACCUCAAAAGCUGUAUAUAAGAAUGAUCUUUUAGACCUUA
rnacentral:tRNA from 1 species